rnacentral:lncRNA from 1 species
AUGUGUGCUCGCUAAGACAUCGCGUCUUAUGCCUACGUAUCUCAUCUGGAAUGAGAAUCAGAGCAAGCCGUAGUUCGGCUAACUACGGGGUUAUGGAUUGGGUUUUGGACGAACGACGUCACUACGCAAUCUACCGGAUGCUCGACCUUUGGAGACUUACUCGCCUGUAGUAGAAGGAGUAAACGUGUGUUAUGGGUUUUAGGGUUUGGGAUGCUCGAGGGCAAACAGGCAGUCCUUGACGAAGGAACCGCGCUACAUGUGGGGAUACGAAUACAAAACACAAAACAUGUAUCUCAAAGUAAAAUGCCACCAAGGGGCUCAAACAUUGCCUCCUAUCGAGGUCUUCCAGCUAAGAAAGCGAUAAAGUACGAGAAAGGGAAAAAAUUACCACACGGAUAAAGAUCCGAAGCUAUAGCAGUUAAAGGAGCAAGAAACCCUGAAAUCUCUCCAGCUGGACCGUCAAAGGAAAUCAGUCAACACGAAUAAUCAGAAUAAAACUUCAGGGGGUAUCCCACAAAUAAAGUGGGAAACCACGCGAGUGUCUCUGCAAAAGCCAUAUGAGCCCUCACAAAACUCGACAAAGGGUUAGAGCAGCAGGAUGAAAUCAAGAGAAAACAAUGCC